CAGCCGCCACGGGAAUACGUAGGUGGCAAGCGUUGUCCGGAAUUAUUGGGCGUAAAGGGCUCGCAGGCGGUUUGUUAAGUCUGAUGUGAAAGCCCCCGGCUCAACCGGGGAGGGUCAUUGGAAACUGGGAAACUUGAGUGCAGAAGAGGAGAGUGGAAUUCCACGUGUAGCGGUGAAAUGCGUAGAGAUGUGGAGGAACACCAGUGGCGAAGGCGGCUCUCUGGUCUGUAACUGACGCUGAGGAGCGAAAGCGUGGGGAGCGAACAGGAUUAGAUACCCCCGUAGUCCCUGUCUCUUAUAC
rnacentral:rRNA from 1 species